GACGAACGCUGGCGGCGUGCUUAACGCAUGCAAGUCGAACGGAAAGGCCCUGCUUUUGUGGGGUGCUCGAGUGGCGAACGGGUGAGUAACACGUGAGUAACCUGCCCUUGACUUUGGGAUAACUUCAGGAAACUGGGGCUAAUACCGGAUAGGAGCUCCUGCUGCAUGGUGGGGGUUGGAAAGUUUCGGCGGUUGGGGAUGGACUCGCGGCUUAUCAGCUUGUUGGUGGGGUAGUGGCUUACCAAGGCUUUGACGGGUAGCCGGCCUGAGAGGGUGACCGGCCACAUUGGGACUGAGAUACGGCCCAGACUCCUACGGGAGGCAGCAGUGGGGAAUAUUGCACAAUGGGCGGAAGCCUGAUGCAGCAACGCCGCGUGCGGGAUGAUGGCCUUCGGGUUGUAAACCGCUUUCGCCUGUGACGAAGCGUGAGUGACGGUAAUGGGUAAAGAAGCACCGGCUAACUACGUG
rnacentral:rRNA from 1 species